AUCGCUUCUCGGCCUUUUGGUUAAGAUCAAGUGUGGUAUCGGUUAAAAUCUGCGGGGUCUACGGGUGGUCAACAUCAAAUGCGUUUAUUUCUCAUACAAUAUAUUAUCUUUUUAUUUUGAGCUUAUUUCAGCAUAAAUAAUGUAUUUUAAAUGAAUUUCUAUGAUAGCACAUGCUAUUGAAUAAAUCCU